ensembl:lncRNA novel transcript
GCUCAGCCUCUGGAUAUUAAUCCGCUGGGCCAGUGGCCACCUGAAUAAAAUCCUCCUAUUUCACCCUUUGGUCUCUCCAGUCUCCUGAUUCCCACAACAUUUUGGCAAGCCAGCCAGGAGCGGAGAUGACAGGUUUACUGUCUCCUUUGCCUGUGGAACUGGAGCCCCAGGCCAGGGGAGGCCUGUGACCCCAGGGACCAUCAGGAGAACUUCAACCCAGAGGGGAGAUCAGCUCUCCUGUGAUCCAGUGCCCCUACCCAACAGCGCAACAGAACCUAAAGGGGCUACAGGAUGAUUCCAGGAACAGCAUGCUUCAGGACCACAUUGCAGGAAUCGUGCCUUAGAUCCACCACAGUUGGCUGAAACUGGCAGCCCAGGACAAGUGGACCAGCCAGCAAGACUCAGACCAUCCAAACCAGCUGAUCCUAUGACAGGACCGAGGUGCCAGUGAAAGUGACAACAGCCCUGCUCUGGUGACUCCAGAAGCCGACCAGUCUAUGCACAGCUGAAGCUUGAGGAGACAGCAGUCCUGUUAGUCACCCCAGAAGCUGACUAGUCUAUGCACAGCCGAAGUUUCAUCUAGGAAGUAAAUGUAGUUAGAAAUCUUAAGCCCAGUAAUUUUCCUUGUAAUCUUAAUUGUUUUACUAUUAACCUGUCACUGUGCUCAACCUCCUCCCCUGGAUAAGGACCUCUGUUGUCCAUGCUGGGUAUGAACAUACUAUUCCUUACUUUGUUCUUGCUACUCCCUCUAUCCAUGUUAGAAGGAGGGGUAUGCGGAAACUUUAAACUAAUUGUUGCCUAGAAAUUGAUGACAAUAGGAAGGUCAUUGAAGAUAUAACUGCAAAAAUUCAAAAAUUAGCCCAUGUCCCAGUCCAAAUUUGGAAAGGAUGGUCUCCAGAUACCCUCUUUGGGGGCUGGUUUUCGUCCCUUGGAAGAUUUAAGACCUUAGUAGGAAUAGUUCUGGUCAUACUGGGAGUCUGUCUCACACUCCCUUGUCUCCUACCUCUCCUUGUUAAAAACAUCCAAUCAGCCAUAGAGGUUCUUGUAACCAGGUAAACCACCACCCAACUAAUGGCAUUAAUCAAAUAUCAACCUUUGCCAAAUAAAGGACUAACUCCUCAUGGAGAAUUAAAUUCUGAUGAUAAUGCUUUCUAUUAAACUUUAUUUAUAAACAGCAUCAAAGGGGAGAAUUAAGCAGGAAAUAUAAGAAAAACAAGUAAAGGGAAAACAAGUCCAGUUGGAGCUAUGAUAACAUUAUCUGCAAGGCCAGGCAGGGGCCCCAAAGAAAUGGAUUCCAAGAAUAGGGAUGAGAAAAACAAGUUCUUAUCCGUCUCCCCCUGGAAUUCUCUCCCAAUGCCAUUAUUCUUUGUUCUGCGCUUGUAACUAUUUUUGUAACUAUUUCUGCAAGUUUGCAAGGAUUUUAUAAGUUCCUGUUUUCCCAUCUGUGCAGGAUGGCAAAGGUCACAAGACAUGCCUGAAUUGCAAAACCUGUCACAGUUAACUGCCUUUGUUCUGCUUCUGUAAGCUUGCUUUCCCCACCCUGCAAGUUUUGUGCCACUGGCUAGCCACUCCCCUUCAGUUGCCUGAAUAAAAGUUAAGCCUGGCCUUUGUUCAUUUAUCAGCCUCUGAAUAUUAACCCACUAGGCCGGUGGCCACCUAAAUAAAAUCCUCCUGUUUCACCCA